CCCUUAGAUGUUCUGGGCCGCACGCGCGCUACACUGAUGCAUUCAACGAGCCUAUCCUUGACCGACAGGUCCGGGUAAUCUUUGAAUCUGCAUCGUGACGGGGAUAGAUUAUUGCAAUUAUUAAUCUUCAACGAGGAAUGCCUAGUAGGCGCAAGUCAUCAGCUUGCGUCGAUUACGUCCCUGCCCUUUGUACACACCGCCCGUCGCUCCUACCGAUUGAGUGGUCCGGUGAGGCUUUGGGAUCUGAGCGGAAAGAGCGUUUCGCUGUUUCUGCUCGGAAAACUCAGUCGAACCUUAUCAUUUAGAGGAAGGAGAAGUCGCAACA
rnacentral:rRNA from 1 species